rnacentral:rRNA from 1 species
UACGGAGGGUGCGAGCGUUGUCCGGAAUCACUGGGCGUAAAGGGCGCGUAGGCGGUCUGCUAAGCGUGCGGUGAAAGCCUGGGGCUCAACCCCAGGUCUGCCGUGCGAACUGGUGGACUAGAGCACUGUAGAGGCAGGUGGAAUUCCGGGUGUAGCGGUGGAAUGCGUAGAGAUCCGGAAGAACACCGGUGGCGAAGGCGGCGAUCUGGACAGAUAUUGACGCUGAGGUGCGAAAGCGUGGGGAGCAAACAGG